rnacentral:rRNA from 1 species
UGGGGAAUAUUGCACAAUGGGCGCAAGCCUGAUGCAGCCAUGCCGCGUGUAUGAAGUAGGCCUUCGGGUUGUAAAGUACUUUCAGCGGGGAGGAAGGGAGUAAAGUUAAUACCUUUGCUCAUUGACGUUACCCGCAGAAGAAGCACCGGCUAACUCCGUGCCAGCAGCCGCGGUAAUACGGAGGGUGCAAGCGUUAAUCGGAAUUACUGGGCGUAAAGCGCACGCAGGCGGUUUGUUAAGUCAGAUGUGAAAUCCCCGGGCUCAACCUGGGAACUGCAUCUGAUACUGGCAAGCUUGAGUCUCGUAGAGGGGGGUAGAAUUCCAGGUGUAGCGGUGAAAUGCGUAGAGAUCUGGAGGAAUACCGGUGGCGAAGGCGGCCCCCUGGACGAAGACUGACGCUCAGGUGCGAAAGCGUGGGGAGCAAACAGG